rnacentral:rRNA from 1 species
UACGAAGGGGGCUAGCGUUGCUCGGAAUUACUGGGCGUAAAGGGCGCGUAGGCGGCCAUUCAAGUCAGGGGUGAAAGCCUGUGGCUCAACCACAGAAUUGCCUUUGAUACUGUUUGGCUAGAGACCGGAAGAGGUAAGUGGAACUGCGAGUGUAGAGGUGAAAUUCGUAGAUAUUCGCAAGAACACCAGUGGCGAAGGCGGCUUACUGGUCCGGUUCUGACGCUGAGGCGCGAAAGCGUGGGGAGCAAAAGGG